GGAAGUAUAAGUCGUAACAAGGUUUCCGUAGGUGAACCUGCGGAAGGAUCAUUAAUGAGUUGUCAUGGGGUUCGAUGCUGGCAGCCAAUUUUUGGAUGCAUGUGCUUGCCCUAACAAUCAUCUUCCAAACACCUGUGCACAUUUUUGAGGGAGUCUUGAGUCGGUUGCCGCUCUUGGGUGAUUUUCUCACAUUCCCUUAAAUCAUUAUACGCUAUUAACAAUGUUGAACGUGCUCUGUGCCGCAAGGCUAUUAAUAUAAUACAACUUUUAACAACGGAUCUCUUGGCUCUC
rnacentral:misc_RNA from 1 species